rnacentral:rRNA from 1 species
UUAGUGGCGCAAGGGUGAGUAACACGUGGGUAAUCUGCCUUUGAGACUGGGAUAACAACUAGAAAUGGUUGCUAAUACCGGAUGAAAGAUAAGAAGAUAAGUUUUCUUAUCGUAAAAGUGGCUUUCGGGCCACACUUAAAGAUGAGCCUGCGGCGUAUUAGCUAGUUGGUAAGGUAAAGGCUUACCAAGGCGACGAUGCGUAGCCGACCUGAGAGGGUGAUCGGCCACACUGGGACUGAGACACGGCCCAGACUCCUACGGGAGGCAGCAGUAGGGAAUAUUGCACAAUGGGCGAAAGCCUGAUGCAGCGACGCCGCGUGAGGGACGAAGGCCUUCGGGUUGUAAACCUCUUUCAGCAGGGAAGAAGCGAAAGUGACGGUACCUGCAGAAGAAGCGCCGGCUAACUACGUGCCAGCAGCCGCGGUAAUACGUAGGGCGCAAGCGUUAUCCGGAAUUAUUGGGCGUAAAGAGCUCGUAGGCGGUUUGUCGCGUCUGCUGUGAAAGCCCGGGGCUCAACCCCGGGUCUGCAGUGGGUACGGGCAGACUAGAGUGCAGUAGGGGAGACUGGAAUUCCUGGUGUAGCGGUGAAAUGCGCAGAUAUCAGGAGGAACACCGAUGGCGAAGGCAGGUCUCUGGGCUGUAACUGACGCUGAGGCGCGAAAGCGUGGGGAGCAAACAGGAUUAGAUACCCUGGUAGUCCAUGCCGUAAACGUUGGGCACUAGGUGUGGGGGACAUUCCACGUUUUCCGCGCCGUAGCUAACGCAUUAAGUGCCCCGCCUGGGGAGUACGGCCGCAAGGCUAAAACUCAAAGGAAUUGACGGGGGCCCGCACAAGCGGCGGAGCAUGCGGAUUAAUUCGAUGCAACGCGAAGAACCUUACCAAGGCUUGACAUGAACCGGAAAGGCCUGGAAACAGGUCCCCCACUUGUGGCCGGUUUACAGGUGGUGCAUGGUUGUCGUCAGCUCGUGUCGUGAGAUGUUGGGUUAAGUCCCGCAACGAGCGCAACCCUCGUUCUAUGUUGCCAGCGGGUUAUGCCGGGGACUCAUAGGAGACUGCCGGGGUCAACUCGGAGGAAGGUGGGGACGACGUCAAAUCAUCAUGCCCCUUAUGUCUUGGGCUUCACGCAUGCUACAAUGGCCGGUACAAAGGGUUGCGAUACUGUGAGGUGGAGCUAAUCCCAAAAAGCCGGUCUCAGUUCGGAUUGAGGUCUGCAACUCGACCUCAUGAAGUUGGAGUCGCUAGUAAUCGCAGAUCAGCAACGCUGCGGUGAAUACGUUCCCGGGCCUUGCACACACCGCCCGUCA